rnacentral:rRNA from 1 species
AGCGAACGCUGGCGGCGUGCUUAACACAUGCAAGUCGCGCGGGAAAGAGACUUUCGGGUCUUGAGUAGAGCGGCGGACGGGUGCGUAAGACGCGGGUGACCUAUCCGAGAGGCGGGGAUAACCCAGCGAAAGCGGGGCUAAUACCGCAUACGCACUACGGUGGAAAGCCGGGGACCGCAAGGCCUGGCGCUAACAGAUGAGCCCAAGUCGGAUUAGCUAGUUGGGUAGGGUAACGGCCUACCAAGGCGACGAUCCGUAACUGGUCUGAGAGGACGACCAGUCACACCGGAACUGAGACACGGUCCGGACUCCUACGGGAGGCAGCAGUGGGGAAUAUUGGACAAUGGGCGAAAGCCUGAUCCAGCGACGCCGCGUGGGU